rnacentral:rRNA from 1 species
UAGGGAAUCUUCCACAAUGGGCGCAAGCCUGAUGGAGCAACACCGCGUGAGUGAAGAAGGGUUUCGGCUCGUAAAUCUCUGUUGUUGAAGAAGAACGUGCAUGAGAGUAACUGUUCAUGCAGUGACGGUAUUCAACCAGAAAGUCACGGCUAACUACGUGCCAGCAGCCGCGGUAAUACGUAGGUGGCAAGCGUUAUCCGGAUUUAUUGGGCGUAAAGCGAGCGCAGGCGGUUGCUUAGGUCUGAUGUGAAAGCCUUCGGCUUAACCGAAGAAGUGCAUCGGAAACCGGGCGACUUGAGUGCAGAAGAGGACAGUGGAACUCCAUGUGUAGCGGUGGAAUGCGUAGAUAUAUGGAAGAACACCAGUGGCGAAGGCGGCUGUCUGGUCUGUAACUGACGCUGAGGCUCGAAAGCAUGGGUAGCGAACAGG